UACGUAGGGAGCAAGCGUUGUCCGGAUUUAUUGGGCGUAAAGCGCGCGUAGGCUGUUUGAUAAGUCGGGUGUGAAAACUCCAAGCUCAACUUGGAGCCUGCAUCCGAAACUGUCAUGACUAGAGUCUGGUAGGGGAACACGGAAUUCCUGGUGUAGCGGUGAAAUGCUUAGAUAUCAGGAGGAACACCAGUGGCGAAGGCGGUGUUCUGGGCCAGUACUGACGCUGAGGUGCGAAAGCGUGGGGAGCGAACAGG
rnacentral:rRNA from 1 species